rnacentral:rRNA from 1 species
AUGAAGCAAAUAAUCUACUGCAGUUUGAUCUACUGCAAAUUACCGAAUCAAUUGACAGCUACUCCUGGUUAUCAAUUUGAUCUUCAUUUGCAUAAACCUGGUUGGUGCUUGCACUAUUUACUGAAAAUAAACCAUUAUUUACUGAAGAUAAACCUGGUUGACCUUCAUUUGCAUAAACCUGGUUUGUGCUUGCACUAUUUACUGGAAAUAAACCAUUAUUUACUGAAGUUAAACCUGGUUGAUCUUCAUUUGCAUAACUUGGUUGAGUAUUACAGAGCAAUUGACAGCAAAUUGAUCUGGUUGGAAUUCAGAUAG